AAUGUACUCCCUCCGUUCCAAAUAACUCGUCGCCAAAAUGCAUGUAUCUAGAACUAAAAUACAUCUAGAUACAUCCAUACCUGCGACCAGUAAUUCGGAACGGAGGGAGUAGGUA
rfam:Triticum aestivum genome assembly, contig: Triticum_aestivum_CS42_TGACv1_scaffold_526463_6DL